rnacentral:lncRNA from 1 species
UGUCACACUAACAAAAAGCAACCUGUAGUUUAAUAUAUUUUUUUGAUGUUUUAAUAAAUAGUAUGUUAAUAUAAACAUUUUAAAGUGGAAUAAAAUUGCAAUAAAAUAAUGAUGUGAUUGAAAGUGGUGAUGUCCAAGUUGGUUGUUUCGUUAAUUCUUAAUUAUUAGUCCACUGUGAACUGCUGAUAGACAAAUGAACACUCUUAACAUGAUUUAAUUUCAUAAUACAGUAUUUCUGUCGAUUAUUUUAUACUGCUGAGUAAACUUCUUUUUGAGAAGGCACUCCCUCGCCUCUUUGGAAAAAAUGCCCCAGUUUAAUUGGUAGGUAAGUUUUAGACAGGCAAGCCUUAAAUCCAUUUUAAUAAUAGUUUUAUAUCUACAGCAGAUUCCCCUGAAUUGGUGCUUUUAGCUAUUUAUUCUUAUUUUGUGUAUUUCCUAUUCCAUUGUAAGUGGUGAAAGGUAAAUAAAAUUCAGAGAGAAAACACAAGAAAUUUAAACACAGUCAGGUACUUACCUCUGCUGAUAUUUAUUUAUUAUAUAUAUUUAUUUAUCUGGAUUUUUAGGCUCUAUUGUUAGUGUUACCUGUAUGCACCAAGGGUCUGAGAGCAACGCAAUUUCAAUUUUCUGUAUGUAUGUACUGUACAUGUGGAAGAAUUGACAAUAAAGCAGACAUGACUUGACUUAUUUUUAGUAAAGAACAAAGAUCUAUAACUGGCCUGAACAAUCAACAAAUCAAGACGCCAAUGUGAAAUCAUUUUCCUUGAAAGAAAAAGCGGAUUUCUGAAAUUUUUUUCACAAAUAGGUUUGAUGAUAUAUUUAAUGUUGUUGAUUUUACAGAAUGAAAAUAGUUUGAAUGGCAGAGAAUUCAAAUAAUGUAGAGAACCCUCAGUGUAUAUGGAGGAGCCGGUGGUCGAGGAACCCGGAUCUCCUCAUCCCCCUCUUCACCAAGGGCCUUCGACCUGGCUGAUGGUUUAGACCCGUGCGUUGACGAGAAGGCCACCAUGCAGAAUUUGAAUAACCGCCUAGCCU